rnacentral:pre_miRNA from 1 species
CUAGUACUCCCUUCGUUCGGAAUUACUUGUCACGGAAAUGGAUGUAUCUAGAUGUAUUUUAGUUCUAGCUGUAUCCAUAUCCGAGACAAGUAAUUCCGAACAGAGAAAGUAGAAC